rnacentral:rRNA from 1 species
AGUCGAACGGAUGUUUUCGGACAUUAGUGGCGGACGGGUGAGUAACGCGUGAGAAUCUAGCUUCAGGUUGGGGACAACAGUUGGAAACGACUGCUAAUACCGAAUAUGCCGAAAGGUGAAAGAUUAAUUGCCUGAAGAAGAGCUCGCGUCUGAUUAGCUAGUUGGUGGGGUAAGAGCUUACCAAGGCGACGAUCGGUAGCUGGUCUGAGAGGACGAUCAGCCACACUGGGACUGAGACACGGCCCAGACUCCUACGGGAGGCAGCAGUGGGGAAUUUUCCGCAAUGGGCGAAAGCCUGACGGAGCAAUACCGCGUGAGGGAAGAAGGCUCUUGGGUUGUAAACCUCUUUUCUUAGGGAAGAAAAAAAAUGACGGUACCUAAGGAAUAAGCAUCGGCUAACUCCGUGCCAGCAGCCGCGGUAAUACGGAGGAUGCAAGCGUUAUCCGGAAUGAUUGGGCGUAAAGCGUCCGCAGGUGGUUUAUCAAGUUUGCGGUUAAAGGUUCUGGCUCAACCAGAGACAGGCCGUGAAAACUGAUAGACUAGAGUAUGGUAGGGGCAGAGGGAAUUCCCAGUGUAGCGGUGAAAUGCGUAGAGAUUGG